UACGGAGGGUGCGAGCGUUGUCCGGAAUCAUUGGGCGUAAAGGGCGCGUAGGUGGCCCGGUCAGUUCGUGGUGAAAGCGCGGGGCUCAACCCUGCGUCGGCCAUGAAUACUGCCGCGGCUGGAGCACUGUAGAGGCAGGCGGAAUUCCGGGUGUAGCGGUGGAAUGCGUAGAGAUCCGGAAGAACACCGGUGGCGAAGGCGGCCCACUGGUCCGGUACUGACGCUGAGGUGCGAAAGCGUGGGGAGCAAACAGG
rnacentral:rRNA from 1 species